AUCCAGCUGACGAGUCCCAUGGAGGUUGAAACGCGCGUCGAACUGGAU
rnacentral:hammerhead_ribozyme from 1 species